rnacentral:rRNA from 1 species
GCCCGUCACACCAUGGGAGUGGGUUGCUCCAGAAGUAGCUAGUCUAACCUUCGGGGGGACGGUUACCACGGAGUGAUUCAUGACUGGGGUGAAGUCGUAACAAGGUAGCCGUAGGGGAACCUGCGGCUGGAUCACCUCCUUA